rnacentral:lncRNA from 1 species
ACAGCCUAAGCAGUAAUUUAACCUGAAGGCACGCCUGGAUGAACUAAUACACUCUCUCCCUCUCUUUAAGUUCAAUUUUUUCAAUGUACAACGAGCAAUGCUUGCUCGGUACAAUAUGAUACAGAAUAGUUUCUGAAAUGGGUAUGAUGUUGCAUGUAAAGAAGCCUGAGAAACUGAUGAGACGAGCCAAGCCUUAGAUCUGUAAGCCGUCUAGUAGGCAUGCGUAUGCUUUGGCUCCAAGGCUGAAAUCAUAUGUUCGAGGAUAACAAUCUUGAGCUGAUAACUGUUGCAGCCACAAUAUCUGCAUCCAAAACAUAAAUUAUUGAACAUCCAUUCCCCAACAAGCCUGAUACAAGUUCCUGAUUUUAGAUAAGUAGCAUCACCAGGUCCUCAAUUCCCUGUUGAUAUUUGGUUUUGUAUCUUUCUAUUGGCUUCGACCAGGAGCCGGGCACAAUUCUAAACUUCUCUUUAACCUUUUGUUUAAACAUUAGCAUAUAUACGUUUUCUCAUGUAAUCAACAUAUGGUAGUUGGGACGCUUCCCGCUUCUGCCAAGAAAAGUAUAUGAAGUCUAAUUGGAUUUCCAUCCUUCUAGGGAAAAACAUGCAUGCCUUCUGUUAACUUUACGUGUCUCUCCCCCUCCCUCGUUGGCUAACUGAGUGCAUUCUCCUCCGUCGCUUAAGCAGCAGAAGAAACAGAAGAACUGCAACAUCCACUCACCAGUCUACUGGAUUAUUGCUGUUCUAAAUGACUCAAACUGAACGAUUAUUUAAGUGUGGUAACCAGACCAAGCCCACAUUCUUUUAAUAAUAUAGGCUCAAAAGAACCCUUCUGAGUUAAAUGAAAGAUCAUCCCGCCGGAACACGCCGAGUUUUAUUCAGGACCAUUAGCACCCCACUCAGCUUCUUAUAUUAAUUCUGCACUCAAAUAUAAGCUAUUCUAAUGAGUUCUAAAAUCUCUCCUUGAUUCCUCUUAACCAAUAUGUUUUUAUACGGGAACAAGUUAUAAAAGAUGCACCUAGAGAUUCCAAAAUGAUGCUUCUUCAAAUUCCCAGGACAACUUUUACUGGAUU